CAAUAGCGUAUAUUAAAGUUGUUGCAGUUAAAAAGCUCGUAGUUGGAUUUCUGGUCGGAAGCUCCUGUCCUCUGAUGAGCGUACAAGUGCGUCCUACCAUCCUUCUGUUAACCUUUAAGGCUUUCGCGGCUUUCUAGGGGCUCAGAUAUUUUACCUUGAGAAAAUUAGAGUGUUUCAGGCAGGCUAGCGCCGGAAUACAUUAGCAUGGAAUAAUGGAAUAGGACUUUUGCCUCUUCUGUUGGUCAUGAGGCUCGAGUAAUGAUUAAUAGGGAUAGUUGGGGGCAUUAGUACUUAACUGUCAGAGGUGAAAUUCUCGGAUUUGUUAAAGACUAACUCAUGCGAAAGCAUUUGCCAAGGAUGUUUUCAUUAA
rnacentral:rRNA from 1 species